CUUGUCUGUUUUUGUACUGGAGGAUUUCCCAAUGCGAGAUUAUAUAACAAAAUAUAUAGUAGAAUUCAUCGAGAAAUGAUAUGAUCUCCAUAUCAUUCCAUCGAUCAGACAUAUUCCAUGUAUCGCAACCGAUCGUGCCUAUAAAUACCCACUGGUUAUCGCCUAUACGUUGCAAUAACAGGUGAGAUAUGUUUUGCCCUGAGGGAAGGCCAAGUACUUGCUCAAAGGAAAAAUGGAGCAAAGAUAAUCGUUGAGAGGGCUUCGCAUGAAGAGGCGGAGAGCGGAGUGCAGCCAAGGAUGACUUGCCGGCAUUUUCUCCGACGGAGGACUCUUGUUUGCAGUUGCCGGCAAGUUUGUCCUUGGCUACACUUGGCUCUCUUCUUCUCAUGUGAUGCUCUUGCAUGAUUCAGGCUUGUAAUUGCUGCCUCUGGUUAUAUAUUCUAUUGGUGAUGAUUGCAUCUCGUAAACAUCUGAAAGCUAGAGAAGGUGAGUAUGUAAACAAUAAGAGAACAAGAAUUAAUAAAGAUCAUUUGAAGAAGUAUGUGCUACACUUGGCUCUCUUCUUCUCAUGUGAUGCUCUUGCGUGAUUCAGGCUAGGGAUUGCUGCCUCUAGUUAUGGAUGCUAUCGGUUCCUCCGGUAUGGUAAACAUCAAAAAAACUAAGAUAUGCAUCAUACGGUGAGUAUAUGAACUUCACUUUGCAUCAUACGGUGUAAACUUUCAAAAACCAAUGCCACUAAACAAUAUUAGAAACAAAAUCAAUAAAGAUGCUAGAUAUCAGUGCUCAAAGGAGAAUUUAAAAAAGUAACAGUGACCUAGCGACCAACUUUACCAGACAAAGCAGCACUACUGAUUUAAAAUGAGCUAGAGAGAAGGCAUGGAAGAUACUCAUCAAUGCUUUAAACCAGUACAUCUAACAAACUCGAUCUCUCUUCUUAUGAGUUAUGUUUUAUUGGCAAUUUGAAUUCUGGGAAUUAAUAUUAUACAAGCAGAACAUCACAAUCCUUGGGUGCUGAGUGAAUUUCAAAUGUUAAUAUCAUCAGUCAGAUACUCAAAUGUACGUUAGUACGUAGUAUAUCUCCAAGAAAUUAUUCUAUUCUUGUUGUAAUUUAACAUUUCUUUUAUCUACUUGCACAAGAAUAGGAGGGAACAAGUGGUUAAUUCCAUCCAAUUAUUCAAUUUAUAAGGCACAGACGAAAGGAAGCAAGUCUGAAUCUCUUUUCCUCA